rnacentral:rRNA from 1 species
UCGGGAAUCUUGGACAAUGGGCGCAAGCCUGAUCCAGCCAUGCCGCGUGAGUGAUGAAGGCCUUAGGGUCGUAAAGCUCUUUCGCCAGGGAUGAUAAUGACAGUACCUGGUAAAGAAACCCCGGCUAACUCCGUGCCAGCAGCCGCGGUAAUACGGAGGGGGUUAGCGUUGUUCGGAAUUACUGGGCGUAAAGCGCACGUAGGCGGAUCAGAAAGUUGGGGGUGAAAUCCCAGGGCUCAACCCUGGAACUGCCUUCAAAACUCCUAGUCUAGAGUUCGAGAGAGGUGAGUGGAAAUCCGAGUGUAGAGGUGAAAUUCGUAGAUAUUCGGAGGAACACCAGUGGCGAAGGCGGCUCACUGGCUCGAUACUGACGCUGAGGUGCGAAAGUGUGGGGAGCAA